rnacentral:rRNA from 1 species
AGUGAACGCUGGCGGUAGGCCUAACACAUGCAAGUCGAGCGGCAGCACAGUAAGAGCUUGCUCUUACGGGUGGCGAGUGGCGGACGGGUGAGGAAUACAUCGGAAUCUACUUUUUCGUGGGGGAUAACGUAGGGAAACUUACGCUAAUACCGCAUACGACCUACGGGUGAAAGCAGGGGAUCUUCGGACCUUGCGCGAUUGAAUGAGCCGAUGUCGGAUUAGCUAGUUGGCGGGGUAAAGGCCCACCAAGGCGACGAUCCGUAGCUGGUCUGAGAGGAUGAUCAGCCACACUGGAACUGAGACACGGUCCAGACUCCUACGGGAGGCAGCAGUGGGGAAUAUUGGACUAUGGGCGCAAGCCUGAUCCAGCCAUACCGCGUGGGUGAAGAAGGCCUUCGGGUUGUAAAGCCCUUUUGUUGGGAAAGAAAAGCAGCAGGUUAAUACCCCGCUGUUCUGACGGUACCCAAAGAAUAAGCACCGGCUAACUUCGUG